AAAAAAAGUGUUCAGCUGUUAUCCAGGGGGAGCCAUUAAGACCUCACCUAUGACCCAUGGGUUAUUCAUGUCAGAUAUUACAGUGGUCCGUCUCAUACCUUGGUGUUUCUGAGGAAGAAGGGCUUUGAAAGGUGCUGAGACUGAGCAGCAGUGCCCACCACAAACACCCAGAAAACAGGGUAUUAAUCUUGCCGAAGUAUAGUGAUGAUGUAGCAAUAUAGUUUGGGUUAGAAUGCAGCCUGAAGCUACCAAACCAAGACUUCCCUGGUUCAACCUGCCUGACUCUUCUUCAUCAGCCUUUGGAUCCCCACCUUCCUUUACACCAUUGGAAAAUAACUUCUCUGGAAACCAAUCUCUAAUUUCACCAGCAGCUGUGGACCCUGCAUAACACAAUUAUGUGAGGGAAUUUCUGCGACAUUAGGUGGCUCUCCUCCGUAAUGGCUACCAAAUUGAGGGCAAGGGCCUGGCCAGGGUUCACCAUUUUCCAUCUGCUAAUGGGCAUUCCCGGGGAGGAGCUGUAGAGAUUAACACUCUCUCAGCCAAGGGCCUGCCUACUGCUAGACUCAGCGCUAGUUGGUUGGUUAAUGUGUUUGUAUUUUAUUUUGAAUUUCGGUGUGCCUUUCUUUACUUCCAGUUCCCCGUUUCCCCCAGUUCCUUAUUCUGUGUGCAAUCUUGUUUCUUAAUAAAACUGAUAUAC